rnacentral:rRNA from 1 species
AACUAAGUGCGGUGUGUCACUCGGUUUGUGCGUUGGUAAAGAGUGCAACCGACUGUAUAGAUUAGUGUGAAUGGCAGAAUGCUCUAAUCCUUGACUUUUUAAAUGUAUAUUUUGGCUAUGGGGCUGCCUUUUACCAAGUCUGUCGACACGUCA